rnacentral:rRNA from 1 species
AACGAACGCUGGCGGCAGGCCUAACACAUGCAAGUCGAGCGAGACCUUCGGGUCUAGCGGCGGACGGGUUAGUAACGCGUGGGAACGUACCCUUCUCUAAGGAAUAGCCACUGGAAACGGUGAGUAAUACCUUAUACGCCCUUCGGGGGAAAGAUUUAUCGGAGAAGGAUCGGCCCGCGUAAGAUUAGAUAGUUGGUGGGGUAAUGGCCUACCAAGUCUACGAUCUUUAGCUGGUUUUAGAGGAUGAUCAGCAACACUGGGACUGAGACACGGCCCAGACUCCUACGGGAGGCAGCAGUGGGGAAUCUUAGACAAUGGGCGCAAGCCUGAUCUAGCCAUGCCGCGUGUGUGACGAAGGCCUUAGGGUCGUAAAGCACUUUCGCCUGUGAUGAUAAUGACAGUAGCAGGUAAAGAAACCCCGGCUAACUCCGUGCCAGCAGCCGCGGUAAUACGGAGGGGGUUAGCGUUGUUCGGAAUUACUGGGCGUAAAGCGCACGUAGGCGGAUUGGAAAGUAUGGGGUGAAAUCCCAGGGCUCAACCCUGGAACUGCCUCAUAAACUUCCAGUCUAGAGUUCGAGAGAGGUGAGUGGAAUUCCGAGUGUAGAGGUGAAAUUCGUAGAUAUUCGGAGGAACACCAGUGGCGAAGGCGGCUCACUGGCUCGAUACUGAC